GUCUAUAGCCAUACCACCCUGAACAUGCCUUAUCUCAUCUGAUCUCAGAAGCUAAGCAGGGUUGGGCCUGGUUAGUACUUGGAUGGAAGACAGAUCUUCAGAAGAGAGUGCUCAGAGACA
rnacentral:rRNA from 1 species